rnacentral:pre_miRNA from 8 species
AGGACCCUUCCGGAGGGCCCCCCCCAAUCCUGUUGUGCUUGGUUCAGAGGGUUGGGCGGAGGCUUUCCUGAAGGGUCU